rnacentral:rRNA from 1 species
AAACUUUCAACAACGGAUCUCUUGGUUCUGGCAUCGAUGAAGAACGCAGCGAAAUGCGAUAAGUAAUGUGAAUUGCAGAAUUCAGUGAAUCAUCGAAUCUUUGAACGCACAUUGCGCCCCCUGGUAUUCCGGGGGGCAUGCCUGUUCGAGCGUCAUUACACC